rnacentral:rRNA from 1 species
UAGUGAGUUUGAUCCUGGCUCAGGACGAACGCUGGCGGCGUGCUUAACACAUGCAAGUCGAACGAGGUCCAUGGAGCUUGCUCCGGAAGACCUAGUGGCGAACGGGUGCGUAACACGUGAGAAACCUACCCCAGACUUGGGAAUAACAGUCGGAAACGACUGCUAAUACCGAAUACCUUCGGAGCGUCGCAUGGCGCAUCGAAGAAAGCUUUUUAGCGGUUUGGGAGGGUCUCGCGGCCUAUCAGCUAGUUGGUGAGGUAACGGCUCACCAAGGCAUCGACGGGUAGCUGGUCUGAGAGGAUGAUCAGCCACACUGGGACUAAGACACGGCCCAGACUCCUACGGGAGCAGCAGUGGGGAAUAUGCACAAUGGGGCGAAAGCCCUGAUGCAGCGACGCCGCGUGA